UAAGAUCUAAACCAAAACAUUUCCCCCAUAAUGAAAAUAACGAGCCAUCUAUUUGAGGUGAGUAGUUCUCCUACUUGUUGCCUCGUGUGUUUGGGUGGAUCCACGCUUACCACUGACAAAAACACAAUUUUUGGGGGGGGAGUGGCUGAGUUGCAGCACGGCGUUGCCUUUAAGCUCUUCGAUCUAUCUCAGCGAUGCGCUGACAACGGCGUAAUGAAAGAGACUAUUUUGAAUCCUGGUGGGGGGUGUCGGUAGUAAAUUACCGUGGCAUCUGGGUGGCGGCGAUGAUGCUGAUGUCACCCCUGAUCAAUCGAUCUGGGCGAAUUAGCUAAUGCACCUGAGGCGGGCGCCUUACAUAAACAUAAAACACUUUGGCGAAAAUGCCGCUGGCCGCGAUCGCCGCCAUCGCGCAUUACGGGCGAGGGAACAUUGACGAAUGCCGACCCGAGUCUACCGUCUGCCGGGGGAGUUGUGAGCGAUCUUUGCCAGAGUGGCAUCAUUCUCGAAGACAAAUGGAAGGAUGCUAGCGCAGGGGAAAUGUAUUAGAAAGCUCAUCUUUAAACAUCAUCCAGCAAUCUGGUUCUUUGCCACCGUCAGAGUCCACAUUAGCAUAGCUUUGUUAGGAAUGGUGCGACAUAGGUGGUGCAAAAUGUUUGGAGGGGCAGGGGGGCGGGGGGUACUUGAGAAAGGAAUUAGUUACUUGGGGAGUAGACAUUUUAGCCGCUCAUAUUUACAUGACUAGAUAUGUUUGGUGGGUUGUAGGUAGAUACAUACAAUGGGUAGUAAAGUUGGUAAAUCUCGUAACGAGUAACAGAUCUGCAGACUCGAUUCAGUUAGGCGAGCCCGGAUCCAUCCAUCCAUCCAUCUUCUACCGCUUAUCCGGGGCCGGGUCGCGGGGGCAACAGCUUUAGCAGGGAAGCCCAGACUUCCCUCUCCCUAGCUACUUCUUCCAGCUCUCCCCGGGGGAUCCCGAGGCGUUCCCAGGCCAGCUGGGUGACAUAGUCUCUCCAGCGUGUCCUGGGUCUUCCUCGGGGUCUCCUCCCGGUGGGACAUGCCCGGAACACCUCACCAGGGAGGCGUUCAGGAGGCAUCCGAAUCAGAUGCGCAAGCCACCUCAUCUGGCUCCUCUCGAUGUGGAGGAGAAGCGGCUCGACUCGGAGCCCCUCCCGGGUGACCGAGCUUCUCACCUUAUCUCUAAGGGAGAGCCCGGACACCCUGCGGAGAAAACUCAUUUCGGCCGCUUGUAUCCGGGAUCUCGUUCUUUCGGUCACGACUAGAGAUUUCACGAGCCCGGAUUUCAAAGCAAAUACGGUGAAGCAGCAUUUAGCGGUUAUGCUGCACACAUAUGAAAUAAGAUGCCAACAGUAAUGAAUUCAGCCCCACAUUUAACUGCUUGUAAUCCAAUUAAAACACAAAACGAUGCUCUACCUUUGAUUUAUAUUAGUGUAAGCAUGUUUUAAAUUAUAUUCUCCAAAAUCCCGUUCUUGCACUCGAUGAUUCCGUUUUUAAUAUGCAACUGUUAUUUCUGGGCUUUGCUUUUAAAUGUCUUCACCACUAUUGUUUGUAAAUGUACUUGUAGUGAAGUUGACCUAGCGUGUGUAUGAAAUGUGCUAUCCUCUAUCGAAUAACUAAAGUUGCUUUGCCUUGGAUUUAGCAGCUACCUUCGAUGUCUCCAUAGUUGGGUCUGCAGUUUUGUGAAUUGUGAAACACGCUGACUCUGCACUGGACCUUUAGGGUAGUUGUGUAGUCCAUUGGAGUUACAGUAUAUACGUACUCGUGGGUAUGGCUUUUUCCAUCACACACCUAAGAAAAAUGCUAUUCUUACAUUGGUCUCAAAUCCGAGAGGUCUGAUUUUUCUUUUGUCGUUGGCAGAAAAGCAACUUGCGUGCAUGCGUGUGUGUGUGUGCUUUUGGAGCACAGCCAUCAUCGAUCUGCCUCAGGAGUCUGAUCAGAUGGUUUUUCAUUCCAUUUCCUAUGUCCUAUGAAUCAGACAGAGGUACCAUUUUUUUGAGGGGGGGCUCUUUUUUUUUCCUUCUCUUUUUUUGCCAUCCCGGCAUUGUGGACUUCUUCCAUGUGUGGGUGCGUGUGAGGGUUUUUUGAAGCCAUGGUUGUUUGUUGUGCACUGUUGGGUCUUUUUGUGUGCUUUCCAAUAAGCGCUCGCUCAGCGGAGGUUUUUGGCAUCCCAGAGGAGAAGGAAAACUCAAAAAUACCAUCCUUUUGGUCCUAUUUUUCUCCGAGACACCACUCAGCUCAAGUAAAAUGAUGUGAGCCUAAUCUUCUCUUCAUGCAAAUACAAUUUAAAUAGAAAUAGAAAGUAUACAGCAUAACAGCAGGUCAUUAGUUAAGUAGGUUGGCCGACAUGGUGGUGCUGUAGAUACUGUAGGUAGGUAACAUGCAUAAAUUUGGAAUACGGGUAGCUUGUCGGUUCUUUGGAUAGAUGCAUGGGUUUGGUAAAUAGAUCACAGGUGAGGUAAGCAGUGCAAUGGUCAAUAUUUCAUAUCAGUGGUCAGUCAGUAGGUGGGUUGUUAUCGUAGGUAGGUAGAAAGGAACAAAUAUGUUGUUUGUAGGUCAAUAGGUAAAGUAGGUAGGCAGGUAGGGCACGUCUGUUAUGGGUUGACCCACAAAAAAGUCCCAAGAAGCCAUAUGGGGGGGAAGAAAAAAACAUAACAAAACAAAACAGGAAGUUCUGCAACUUUUUUAUGAUCAUGAUGCCCAUUUCAAGGGUAAAACGUCAUCUUGAGAUCAGAUUGAGGCUCACUUGUGAAGAAUUUGAGUUUUCAUUAUGUGUGGGUGCAGCAUGGCAACAAAUAACUGCAUAAAAUUCAAACUCUCCAAACUCAGCACCGCAUGGUCAAUUAGUCGUUUUACUUUUUUAUUUAAUUUAUUUUUUUUUUUGUACCAUAAAGUGAUAACUCGGGAGUGUUUUGGACAAAUAAGGAGUUCGCUUCUGGAAAAGGAUUUAUUUUAAGAGAAUGGGCCCCUAAAAAAUAAAAACCCAACGACGUGGCUCCCUACUGCGCUUGGCAAUUUGUCCGAGCCGAUGCGUUGCUCGCGUCCAUAAUAAAGUGAGUGCUCCGAUAUGAAAGCGCAGACGACAGCAACGGCGACACAGCUGUCCUGAAUAAAUUGCGGCUUUCGCGUUAACAUCCCACCUCCGCUCCCCAUUCCCAGGCUUGAGUCUAUUAUUGGAUGUCGCUUGCCCUUGAUUAGCUAUUUGCCGCCUUGUGAUGGAAGCACUCGGUAUUGUGGGUAAACAGAUCGACUGUCACCACUCCGCCACUGUUGACUUCCUGUAUGCGUGCCUGUUUUCUACGUGUCAAAGUGAGGGAACAAACACAUACUUAUAAUAGGUACACGCUUUUGGGGGGGGGGGGGGGGGGGGGGGGGGGGGGGGGGGA